UAUAUAUCCCAAUGCUAUGUCAUGAGCAUGUCAAGUAAUCCAACUACUAAGCCUAUCUAGUAGUGAUUAUUCAUUCUCAACACUGUGUCGAUUUUCAUUUCCAAUUAAGGACCUACCAAAGGUAGUCCAGCUUGUGCCGCCUAAGUGCCUGUGGUAGCCCAACAUCCCUACUCUUGGAAUGUGUCUGUCCCACUCGACCCCGUAGGCUUCUCAAUACCGCACGAGCGAACAUAAGUCGCGUAGGCUAACUCCGGAGUGCCGGCUUGUAGGGAGCGACCCUCACAAGCAUGUGCGAAUGAGCACAAAUGGCNACCAAAGGUAGUCCAACUUGUGCCGCCUAAGUGCCUGUGGUAGCCCAACAUCCCUACUCUUGGAAUGUGUCUGUCCCACUCGACCCCGUAGGCUUCUCAAUACCGCACGAGCGAACAUAAGUCGCGUAGACUAACUCCGGAGUGCCGGCUUGUAGGGAGUGACCCUCACAAGCAUGUGCGAAUAAGCACAAAUGGCAAGCAAGCAUAGUCCAAGUCUCAAGUAUCCAAUCCUCAUGUCUCUAACAUGGUAUCGUCACUAGCAUCCCGAAGAUCUAGUUUAAGUCACAAGGUGAAGUUCCAACAUAAUCCAAAUCCCUCAAUGGCUCUAACCACUAGGUCCACACAUGUCCCGAGCUCAAUGUCGCUUGAUGACAUUAGCUCUCUAAUUCACAUACAUUCUAGUUCGAUACCUCUAUAUGGCAAUUUUGUUAUCUUUCAUAUCACAAAUAAACCUAGGUUUAAAUACAUGAAUCAAAGCUUAUUUUCAUUAUAAGGAACAUGGCCCAACCUGAGAAUGCUAAACAAUCAACCAUAAGCUUCAUAUGCGACUCUCUACUACAUAGAAGUCCAAAAUUGCACUAUAUGUAACAUAGGCAUUUUAAGUAUUCUAAAAAUCAUAAUAAAUACAUUUAGUAUGAAUAUGCAUGCUUUUCCAAUUUAUGAAACAUAUAUCACCGUAUAUGAGAAUUUCUCAUAUUAUAAGCUAGGUCAAACCCACCGAACCGUCGCGUAGUGCCUCGUUUCGCCGAACGAAGUUGUCCACGAGUCUCAAAAUACCCUAAAAGUAUCGAGCGAAGAUUACGAUCAACUAUAAGAUCAAACAUUAAUCUAGAAGCAAAAAGGGCCAAAACUCAUCUCAAGAGAAGAAAUCUCUUCCAAAGCUCCAAAAGAGAGCUAGAACCCUUCCAAUCUAGCCUAGAGGAAGGUUCUAAUCCAAUCAAUCUAGCUCCAAAAGCCCUAAAUUUAAAAUGCCCAAAAUCAAACCCUAAAUCUCAUUCUAGGGUUCCAUCUCAAGAAAUCCAAUAAAUCAAGAAAUUUAGAGGAGAGAAUAGAUAGGUUACCUCUUAGAAGCUUCAAAUCAAGCUCUAGACUCUCUAUGUCCCAAGUUCUCCCUACCACAAUGCUCCAAAUCCAAGCUCCAAAGGUGGAAAAGCUUCCAAAAGCACAAAGAGAAGGAUUAAACCUUAAAUCCAAGCCAAAAAGGGGAUCAAAUCCAAAUGGGACAAGGUAGAGCUCCUCUCACCUUCUCCUCCUCUGGUUCCAGC
rnacentral:lncRNA from 1 species